rnacentral:rRNA from 1 species
UACGGAGGGAGCUAGCGUUGUUCGGAAUUACUGGGCGUAAAGCGCGCGUAGGCGGCUUUGUAAGUUAGAGGUGAAAGCCCGGAGCUCAACUCCGGAACUGCCUUUAAAACUGCAUCGCUUGAAUCCAGGAGAGGUGAGUGGAAUUCCGAGUGUAGAGGUGAAUUUCGUAGAUAUUCGGAAGAACACCAGUGGCGAAGGCGGCUCACUGGACUGGUAUUGACGCUGAGGUGCGAAAGCGUGGGGAGCAAACAGG